rnacentral:rRNA from 1 species
CCUACGGGAGGCAGCAGUGGGGGAUAUUGCACAAUGGGGGGAACCCUGAUGCAGCGACGCCGCGUGGGUGAAGAAGCGCCUCGGCGCGUAAAGCCCUGUCAGCAGGGAAGAAAAUGACGGUAACUGAAGAAGAAGCCCCGGCUAACUACGUGCCAGCAGCCGCGGUAAUACGUAGGGGGCAAGCUGUAUCCGGAUUUACUGGGGGGAAAGGGGGCGCAGACGGCGAUGCAAGCCAGGAGUGAAAGCCCGGGGCCCAACCCCGGGACUGCUCUUGGAACUGCGUGGCUGGAGUGCAGGAGGGGCAGGCGGAAUGCCUGGUGUAGCGGUGAAAUGCGUAGAUAUCAGGAGGAACACCGGUGGCGAAGGCGGCCUGCUGGACUGCAACUGACGUUGAGGCCCGAAAGCGUGGGGAGCAAACAGGAUUAGAUACCCGGGUAGUC